CCAGCCUCGCUGCCGCCUUGCAGUUUGAUCUCAGACUGCUGUGCUAGCAAUCAGCGAGACUCCGUGGGUGUAGGACCCUCCGAGCCAGGUGCAGGAUAAAAUCUCGUGGUGCGCGUUUUUUAAGACCGUCGGAAAAGCGCAGUACUCGGGUGGGAGUCACCCGAUUUUCCAGACAACUUUGCACCAUGCGGACAGGUCAAAUGAGACCAGAAGUAUUAUGAACCAAUGCUAAUCAGGACUGUUUCCUGCACUCUGAGACCAAAGGGGCCAUUCUCACAAAGAAAGAGCUCUUGCCAUGUUACAUGCCUGCUCUCCAUCUGCCCUCCAACAUGAUUGGAAGCUUUCAAUGCCCUCACCAGAAGCAAAUGCUGGUGCCAUGCUUUCUGUACUGCCUGCAGAACUGUGAGUCAAUUAAACCUCUUUUCUUUAAACAUUA